ensembl:lncRNA
AUAAGAAUCUGCCCAUUGUCAUAGGGACUGAACAAAAGGGCACCCAAUUCAGUGGUGGACAAGUGCCGCUAUGGAAGAAGGUGCUGAAUCAGCCAUUCAUCUCAGAAGAAAGUCUGGAGGUGGAGAAAGGAGAAAAACUUUGACUUCAUCACACUGCUGUCAGCAAGAAGGAGGGGAAGAAGCUGCUACACUCUUUACAUUUCUGAACUGGGAAAGCGUAUCACUGUGAUCAGAGACACUGUGAUUAUCUCUAUGUAAAGAAAAAAAAUCAACUACAAUAAUCAAAAACAACCACAGCAAUCUCCAUUUCCUUGCAAGGGGAAAGAAGAAGGAGGAAACAGAAGGAGAUCAUAGAAUCACAGAAUUGUAGGGGCUGGAAGGGACUUCUAGAGACCACUGAGUCCAGCCACUCUGAAAAGCAGGCCCCCUACCACAGGCUUCACAGUUGGGCAUCCAGGUGGAUCUUGAAUAACUCCAGAGGAGAAUCUACAACCCCCCCAGGCAGCCUGUUCCAGUGCUCCAUCACCCUUACUGUGAAGAAGUUCAUUUACAUAUUGGUGUGGAUCUUCCUAUGCUUCAGUUUAUGGUUGUCCCUUGUCCUGUCCUCACAGACUGCUGAAAAGAAGUUGGCCAUGUCCCUUUGACUCCCAUCCUUAAGACAGUUAUAAACAUUGAUAAGACCACCUCUGAGUCUUUUCUCAAGGCUGACAGACCCAGGUCACUCAGCCUCUCCUCACAGGAAUAGCGUGGAUGAGGUUUUGUGAGAUGCUUCUGUGACUUUUGCUGAUCAGAAACAAUGAAGAAUUUCAGAAGAAUGAUUUACC